rnacentral:rRNA from 1 species
CUGGUUCAGGAUGAACGCUGGCGGCGUGCUUAACACAUGCAAGUCGAACGGAGUAUUGACGCUGAGGAGUGGAGAGCUUGCUCAAAGCAAAUCUUGUCGAUACUUAGUGGCGGACGGGUGAGUAACGCGUGGGUAACCUGCCGUAUGCAGGGGGACAACAGUUGGAAACGACUGCUAAUACCGCAUAUGCACACAGUACCGCAUGGUACAGGGUGGAAAGAAUUUCGGCAUACGAUGGACCCGCGUCUGAUUAGCUAGUUGGUGAGGUAACGGCCCACCAAGGCGACGAUCAGUAGCCGGCCUGAGAGGGUGAACGGCCACAUUGGGACUGAGACACGGCCCAAACUCCUACGGGAGGCAGCAGUGGGGAAUAUUGCACAAUGGGGGAAACCCUGAUGCAGCGACGCCGCGUGAGUGAAGAAGUAUUUCGGUAUGUAAAGCUCUAUCAGCAGGGAAGAAAAUGACGGUACCUGACUAAGAAGCCCCGGCUAACUACGUGCCAGCCGCCGC